ACUCGUAGUUCACAGGCCGUGUGUGAGGCGGCGGAGGUCACGGCGCGGAGGCGGGGCGGGGGACAGCAUGGCAGCCUCCUUGGGGUUCCGGGGAGCAGCCUCCGGCCUCUGGUACUGGAGCGGCCGGCGGCGGCCCGUGGGCAGCCUUGCAGCGGGUAAGGACCUCGCGCCCCAUCUGCUCUUCUUCCUCUGGUCAUCCGAGGAGGGCUUUUCGCCCGAAGGGCUGCGGUUGGUUUGAGGGUAAAAGCGACAAUUGUGGUCGCCUCCUAGGCCUGGGCCCCCUUGUAACUGCCUCCUGAGCCGUCAGCCUUCCACUCCUGCCCUAUGCCCGGCUCCAGAUUGUUCAGCGUUUCCUCUGCGGGACCCAGGAACAGCUUGUGAUGAAGGGAGGAAUGUUUGGGUCCCUGGCGUGCGCUUUGGAUUUGGGGCUCCUAGGACAUUUGGAGGGCUCAGCUCCAGAGGUGACCCCACCGCACCCACCUCUGGGACCCCUGGCCUUCCAGCUCCCUGGCUUCACCCUAAGCGGGGGCUCCCUCAGACUUCAAGGCCUAAUUUGUGUUUUAACUACUCUAGUCGGUGGCAUGGCGGUAUCCUAGAAAUCCAGCAAAGUUUGUCACCCUUGACCAGCAAGCAGAGCGAACUCCAUUAUGAAAUGGAGUUGUGCUGCCUCAAAGUGGUGGACUUUUGUCGAAAUAUUAACCACAAUUCUUUGCCUCAAAGUUGUGUCUAUAACCUAACCGACUACUAUGCUGUGCUGCAAGUAUGGAAAGUGACCAGGUUUUAAGCUUUUAGAGCGACAUGAAUAUCUGAGAACUGCUUUUCACAUGAGGAUCUCCCAAGGCCUUAGAAUGAGUAAAUUGGGACUUCUCCAACAAGAUCCAGGAAGUACCCCUUGUUUCUCCCUGACUCUUGGAUUUUCUAGGACAUCAAGACACCUCUUUAAUUAAGAAUUGGUUGAAAUGGUCAUUACCAAGGCUUUUAGAAUGCAGUUUCUCAUUUGCUGUGGACAUGACCAUAAAGAAAAAUUCCCAUGAGGGUUUUCAUAUGCUACUUGUCUAGCAGUUAACCUGUUGGGAACAUGUGUUGAAAAAAAAAAUUGGUUGAUUUGUGGGAGAUACCGAAGGAUUUUUUUUUUUAAAUGUAAAAGUUUAUUUUAACAAUGUGCUGGUUAGCACUAUCAUAUACAGGACUAGCAAACAAAACACCGUUGCCUUUGCUUAGCAUGCAGGAGGCUCUGGAUUCAGGGUGCUUGUGUUCACUUGUUUUAAUUUUUGUGUAAGAAAUAUGUUGGGAGUUGAUUUCUGAGCAGCUCCCAGUCUUUGCCCUCAGGAAAAACUUAUGAAAUUUCUUUCUGCUUUGGAAGAGCAUUUGUGUGCAAUAGGUAGCAGAUGACAGAUAAGGAAUUGUGAUUAGCCAGAUGCAAACACAUGAUUUUGGAUAUAAUUUUUUUCUUUUUAAAAACACUUUGAAGGGAGCAGCAGUUUUCUUAUCAGUGUACAACAUUUUGAGAUCUGAUUAGUUCAGGAUGAUAUAUUUGCUGUUUAGUGUUUUUACAAGGUGACUAAUGAUAGUUUCUUGAACCAUUCAUGUACCUUUUAAGGGUUAUGAAAGUUCUUACAAUUCAUGAUAGGAGAGUCUGAGGCCAAAGCUUAUAAUCCUAUGCUCUGACAGCAGGAAGGACCUGUCUCCCUGGUGCUGGGUAAACUGCCUUACCAAGCCAUCUUGUGCUUGGGCUGCUCUGGCCCAAAGGCAUGUGUCUAUGAACAAUUAAUUUUAAGAAAAAGUUCUUUAGUGAUGUCUUUGAAACACUCAAACAAUCCCUUUUUACUUUGGAGUUAUUUUAAAUUAGUUAUUUUAAACUAAUAUUAAUGACAAAUAGUAAACUAAUUACAAAAAAUGUUAAUUUUUUUUGAGAUUUAAAUCUUUUCUAAAAAUUGGGGAAAAUACCUCAUCUCCAUGCAACUUUGAAGUGUAGGAAAAUGUAGAAAAGGAACCAUGUUCAAUUACUAAUACUUGAUGUUCUGAAUUCUGUGGAGGGAUUUGCCUCCAUAUUAUGUUUAAGCUAUUUAUAGAGAAUAGUUGAUAGUGUUAUAAAGACCCAUGUACUUUUUAAAAAAUGAGACUUACAAGGUGUCAACUUAUGGCAGCUGUAAUACAUUUAAUGCAUACCAGAAGAAACAGAGAAAAUAAUUUCUUUCCUGUUUCAUAAUUCAUUUAAUAAGCAAAUUUUGUAUUUUUUAUAAAUAUUUUUUAUUACGUAUUUUCCUCAAUUAUAUUUGUAUUUUUUAAAAAAGAUAAUUGUACUUAGCUUUAGGUCUAUUUUUUAAAGAGGACACACACACACACACACUUUCUUCAACUAACUUAUUGGGACUCCUCAACAUGUACAUAGAAAAAUUGUAUCAGGACAUUUUUAAAGACCACUUGACCAAAGGUGGGGUGGGAAAUUGAAUAGCACUGUAUAUAGAGUUGCAAAUACUAAGUUUAAAAAACUACAGAUGCCUUUUGUGUAUGUGCUUGUAUUUCUUGUAUGUUUAGAUUUAAGCUUUUUUUUCCUCACAGUUUUAUCCAUAAUACAGCAAUUUGUGAUUAUAUUCACCCACAUUCCCCUCUGUUCUACCUCCUCCUUUCCCUCUGAACCCCUUCUUGCCAGCCUGUUCCCCAGUCACACCAUUCACAAAAUGAUAACCCUUCCAGCAACACCCAUUAGCAGGCAGAAGCACUACAGGAAGGGUGGGUCCUCAUGGGACCACCUCUGUGCAUGAUGGCCUGUUGAAGGGUCAGGUGACCACGAUUGUAGCAGCUGGGUGGUGUCUGGAUGGUCUUGUUCUGUGGCAUUCCUCAUCAUCCUCUCACUCUUCAGCGCCCAUGGUCCGCGAUGUUCCCUGAGGCUAGGGGAGGAGAAGUGAUAAUGGUUUUGUAGAAUGUACUCCACUUUUUUAAAAAAAAGAUUUGAAUCUCAAAAAAAGUUAACAUUUUUGAGGUUAGUUUACUAUUUGUCAUUAUUAUUAAUUUAUAUAAACACUGGCAUUUAAAAUAAUUCCAAAGCAAACCUCAAGUCCAACUCUGAGGUUGUAACCUCAGAGUAAUCAAGUAUAUAAUGUUACUGUUUUCCAUUUACAUUAGCGUCACUUAGUUUGGGACAUGCAGGUCUGAAAGUUACAUGUGGCCUUGGGACUAAAGUUGACCUUGAACUUACAAGAGUACCCACCGAGAAAUACUUAUUACUGAAGUAACGUGAGACCUUCCCAGAGUCCGCCAUCAUCCUUAGCUGAGGAACUUUUACUGUUAAGGCAAACAGUGUUUGUUACAUUAUUGUAUGCAACAGAGGACAAAAUUUGCUUAUUAAAUGUGCGUACCGCGGUUCUUUCUUAGCCAGUUGUGCUUGUUUCACUUCCAAGAGUCACUCACCAUUAAACACAGGCUGAAAAUACUACAUGGAAAGAUAUUUUGGGAUCAACCACAUUUGUAUAACUUCAAAACAUGUUAUAAAUUUUCUAU
rnacentral:lncRNA from 1 species